rnacentral:rRNA from 1 species
CAGCAGCCACGGUAAUACGGAGGGUGCGAGCGUUAAUCGGAAUUACUGGGCGUAAAGCGUACGCAGGCGGUUUGUUAAGUCAGAUGUGAAAUCCCCGAGCUUAACUUGGGAACUGCAUUUGAAACUGGCAAGCUAGAGUCUUGUAGAGGGGGGUAGAAUUCCAGGUGUAGCGGUGAAAUGCGUAGAGAUCUGGAGGAAUACCGGUGGCGAAGGCGGCCCCCUGGACAAAUACUGACGCUCAGGUGCGAAAGCGUGGGGAGCAAACAGGAUUAGAUACCCCGGUAGUCCCUGUCUCUUAUAC